AUGAAAUUUGCUCUUAAGGUCAAUUGUUCCCUCUUGAACACACCCGCAAAAAGAGUAAAAGUUGCUGGAGGAGGAUCAUUGAAUUCUGGAGCAAUUGCACCAAAUGCAAGUUUCGGAAUAGGGAAUGAAACAUUUUCCAAUGACCUAACAGUGCUUGAUAUGCAAGGGUAUGAUGUAGUCCUGGGUUGUGAUAUGCUCAAAAAGCACAGCCCCAUAUCUCUGGAUUUUGAAGCAAGAACUGUCACUCUCAAUAAGGACAAAACCAAGCUGGUCACAUUUGUAGACUGCACUGCUAGUGAACCUCCUAAACUGAUAUCUGCUGAAAAGCUGGACAAGUUGUGUUCUCAAGGGGCUGUGGGUUUCACUAUGAGUUUGCAUUAUAUGACACACAUCCAAACUCCCCUGGAACAGGUAGCACAGGAACCUCUUAAACCUGCAGCUGAAGUUUUACCAGUUUUAAACAACUACAAGGAGCUGUUUAAUGAACCAACUGAACUGCCACCCUCCAUAGAAUGUGAUCACACUAUUCCCCUCAAAGAAAAUUCCACUCCUCCUAAUGUCAGACCAUACAGAGUUCCUCAUUUGCAGAAAAAUGAAAUGGAAUAG
rnacentral:rRNA from 1 species